rnacentral:rRNA from 1 species
UACAGAGGGGGCAAGCGUUGUUCGGAAUUACUGGGCGUAAAGGGCGCGUAGGCGGCCUUCUAAGUCGAACGUGAAAUCCCCGGGCUCAACCCGGGAACUGCGUCCGAUACUGGAAGGCUUGAAUCCGGAGAGGGAUGCGGAAUUCCAGGUGUAGCGGUGAAAUGCGUAGAUAUCUGGAGGAACACCGGUGGCGAAGGCGGCAUCCUGGACCGGCAUUGACGCUGAGCGCGAAGCCAGGAGCAAGCGGAUUAG